GGUGUUCGACUAAGCCAUGCUAGUUAAAUGUUCUUCGUGAACAUAGCGGACUGCUCAGUAACACGUGGACAAUCUGCCCUUGGGUUCAGCAUAACCCCGGGAAACUGGGGACAAUUCUGAAUAGAUCACAUAUGCUGGAAUGCUUUGUGAUUUAAAGAUCCGUCGCCCAAGGAUGGGUCUGCGGCCUAUCAGGUUGUAGUGGGUCUAGAGUACCUACUAGCCGACGACGGGUACGGGUUGUGAGAGCAAGAGCCCGGAGAUGGAUUCUGAGACAUUAAUCCAGGCCCUACGGGGCGCAGCAGGCGCGAAACCUUUACACUGCGGGAAACCGCGAUAAGGGGACACCGAGUGCCAGCAUACAAUGCUGGCUGUCCACAUGUGUAAAUAGCAUGUGAUAGCAAGGGCCGGGCAAGACCGGUGCCAGCCGCCGCGGUAACACCGGCGGCCCGAGUGGUAAUCACUAUUAUUGGGUCUAAAGGGUCCGUAGCCGGUUUAAUCAGUCUUCCGGGAAAUCUGACAGCUCAACUGUUAGGCUUCCGGGAGAUACUGUUAGACUUGGGACCGGGAGAGGUAAGAGGUACUACAGGGGUAGGAGUGAAAUCUUGUAAUCCCUGUGGGACCACCAGUGGCGAAGGCGUCUUACCAGAACGGGUCCGACGGUGAGGGACGAAAGCUGGGGGCACGAACCGGAUUAGAUACCCGGGUAGUCCCAGCCGUAAACGAUGCUCGCUAGGUGUCUGGAAUGGUGCGACCGUUUCAGGUGCCGCAGGGAAGCCGUGAAGCGAGCCACCUGGGAAGUACGGCCGCAAGGCUGAAACUUAAAGGAAUUGGCGGGGGAGCACUACAACGGGUGGAGCCUGCGGUUUAAUUGGACUCAACGCCGGACAACUCACCGGGGGCGACAGCAAUAUGUAGGUCAAGCUAAAGACUUUACCUGAAUCGCUGAGAGGAGGUGCAUGGCCGUCGUCAGUUCGUACUGUGAAGCAUCCUGUUAAGUCAGGCAACGAGCGAGACCCGUGCCCACUGUUGCCAGCAUAUCCUUUGGGAUGAUGGGUACUCUGUGGGGACCGCCGAUGCUAAAUCGGAGGAAGGUGCGGGCUACGGUAGGUCAGUAUGCCCCGAAUCUCC
rnacentral:rRNA from 1 species